GACGAACGCUGGCGGCGUGCUUAACACAUGCAAGUCGAACGAAGUGGCGAACGGGUGAGUAACGAGUAAUCAACCUGCCAUUCAGAGGGGGACAACAGUUGGAAACGACGGCUAAAACGGAAUACGGAAGAAGUGGAAUGCGUCGGAUUAGCUAGGUGGGGGGGUAACGGCCCACCAAGGCGAUGAGAAGUAGCCGGUUUGAGAGGAUGACCGGCCACAUUGGGACUGGGACCCGGCCCAGACUCCUACGGGAGGCAGCAGUGGGGAAUCUUCCGCAAUGGACGAAAGUCUGACGGAGCAACGCCGCGUGAGUGAUGACGGCCUUCGGGUUGUAAAGCUCUGUUAAUCGGGACGCGGUACCGGAAUAGAAAGCCACGGCUAACUACGUGCCAGCAGCCGCGGUAAUUC
rnacentral:rRNA from 1 species